rnacentral:lncRNA from 1 species
UUUUUCAAAGAAACUUAACUACAAAAACAUGUAUAUUGGCUUAAUAUUAAUAGUCCAAGCAUUUUAACAACUGUCAAAUUUUAAUGAACAGACUCUUUCAACAAUAGUCAUGAUAGUAUUUAAUUAACUACCAGUAUUAAUGUUGAACUUCUAGAUGUCAUGUUUAGAAAUAAAAAAAACUGAGCUCAUACAUAUUAUAUUUAGGCAGCAACCAUUUGAUUUUCUGGGGG